AUUUUUGUUCCUAAACAUCCCAAGAAAAAAUGAAGGAGCUGCAAGUGCCACAACACAUAUGGGGACGCCCACUAGUUACCUGGGUUUGCUGCCAUGCAUGUUUUACUGGGAGCUCUGUUGAGAGAAGAACAAAACUCCUGCAAAGAUCUAAGCAGGAUGUUUUGCUUUGGUGUGAGAAUAGCUGAUUCAUUGGCUAAAUCUGCUUGUAAUUUUUAUGUAGCUAGCUUAAUAGCCCUGGUUUCUACCAUCUGUAUUUUGAUAGCCCUAUGACAGUGCAGGCUAUAUCCAUGCCAGUUAACGAAUCCUAUAGUGUUCUGUGGCUGAAAACAGCCUGAGACAUGCCCAACCUGUUGAACUGCAUUCAUUUGGGUGACCUGCCCCAAAAGUUAUUUGACACAUCGGUACAGAAAAAAUACUGAAAGCAACUGGAUCCAGUUUUUGUGAUGUCUCUGCCUGCCCAGCCCCUCGGAACAAAAUAUUUUUCUGCCAAAAAAAAAGAGUUACUGGGUAGGAUAAGAAUUGUGUGGUAUGAAUGCACGAGUCAAAUUUCUUUAAGAGGAGAAAUCAGUUAAUGCCUCCCAGUAGACAGCGCAGAGGGACAUCAUGGUUACUAUAGGGUUUCUACUCUGUGUGAAGUUGUUAGGGAGAGAGCUCGGCCAUCAACACAAGAAAAAAGGACCUGUAUGACAAAGAAGGUGGGGUGACUGUAUCUGGCUGAAAUACUAACAAACUUGAGAGUGUUGUGAAAUAUAAGGAUGGGGUGGGAUUGGGCAUCUCAGAACCAUCAUUAAAAUGCUCUAAAACCAGAAGUUGCUGUGGUUAGAGAUUCUUUUCCUAUGUGUGUUUCUGUUGCUUUUCCUGGUAAGUUGUCUGAAAGAGGGGUUUAAGUAGAGUUUCAGAGGGCUCCUGUUUUAGGUUGGGCUCUGCAGAGAACAUGUCUGGAGACAUGGAGAUCUUAAGGUGCAUGGUGGUACCCACAGCCCCCAGAAGGAGCCUCUAUGGAUCCUUUAGAGCCAGAGUCAGAGGCAAUGCCUCUUACUCACCUGGAAUUCCUUAACAGACUUGUCUCUGUAGCCAAGAAUGGGCCUGGAUUGUAUUGUCAACUAUCUCAGAAUGCUGUUUUAUUUUUUUUAACAAAAAUCAUUAUACCAAGGUAAUCUUAACUGUCAAACGGAGCUGUACAUACUUUGCAUUGUACAUUGUUUCCUUUUAUGUACUGUUUGUCAUUAACAGUCUUGGCUUGACUGCUUCCCAGGUAGUAAAUAUAUUC
rnacentral:lncRNA from 1 species